GCGAGCUGCAAACUCGGCGUCUGAGCCAGACAUCCAAUAGAUCUAUUUUUUCUUCUCAAGCAAGGCACUCGAAACUGCCCCAGGGGCCCCUUCCCAGCACCAGCCGCCAGCACUACACACAUGCUGACUACGAAAACCAGAAUGCCAGAGUGCAUGGUCCAGUGCCUAGUACUGAGGGAUCGCGGCACUUGGCGGGGUGCACACGGAGCACUGGGACGCCAGGCAGAUUCCGACAACCACCAGAGGGAUGGAGGUCUCUGUCGCCAUUCCAGAUGGACACACCAGCUAGCACAUGUGACUCCUUCAUCGUCAAAGAAUCUGAGAACCCAAGUCUCAGGAUCCUCCUAGUGGGUACCUCAUCCCUUCUGUGUCUUGGUGACCAUGUGUAAAGGUGGGGGCAGCUAUCCAUCUCCCUUUUUUCCCCCAUAGAAUUGAUUCAGUAAAGAUCAAAUAGGAUGCAAUGGGGAAAAAAGCCUUUUAAAUAAAACGACAUGAACAUUU